AGAUUAGAGAGAUCGUAAGAAAUAAAAUGGAAAGAAGGGAAAGAGGUACAAGAGUUUUUGUUGGGGGCCUUACUGAAGAUAUUCAGAAGGAAGACCUAGAAGAAGCAUUUAGUAAGGUUGGGAAAAUAGUAAGUGUAUGGGUAGCAAGAAAUCCUCCAGGUUUUGGAUUUGUUGAGUUUGAUGAUCGUGAAGAUGCAGAUGAAGCGGUAAAUUCCAUGAAUGGUCAGCUUAUCAAUGAAACAAGAAUCAGAGUAGACAGGGCAAGAGAACGACGGGGUAGAGGAGGUUUUCAAGGAGGGCGAAAUUUUCGUGAAGGAUAUGAUAGGAGGGGAUCAUCUUAUGACUCGUACAGGGGAGACAGUGGCUUUGGUCGAAGAGGUGGAUACAGGUCUAAUGAUGGAGGAAGUUACAGUUACCGCAGCAGAUCUCCAAUGGGCAACAGAUAUUAAUUUUUUUACAAAAUCUUCAAAGACUAAAUUUCCUGACUGAUGUCUUUGCGGGUUAUUUAUUGAGUUCCACUUUUAAUAUCACUAUCAAACAAUUUGUUAUGUUUCUAAGCACUUUUAAGUUUAAUUGAUGAUGAAGUUUCUUACAAAAAAGGUAAGUUGAAUCCUGCACUUUGUUACUAUGAAUGGAACUGCAAGUUAGCAGUGAAUGUAAGGAAUUGCUCAUUUUUUAUGAUGGUUAAAGUGGAAGAAGUUUAUCACUAUUCAAAUGGAAUCUUGUUUCUGAAGAAUGUGGUGCACUUGUUAGGUGUUGCACCCAUCAAGUUUUUAUUGCACUAUAUUUGCCAUACUUGAAAAUUAUCAAAAACACAUAUGAUCUACCAUAUUAAAUACUUUUUUCAUCUUAAAACUGAUAUCCAAUAAAUGUGCUUCUGUGGCAUACAAUUUACAUAACAUAGAUUUCUGAAGGAAUAUAUAGGUUUGUAUUGGCAUAGCUGUUAACUGAAUCAUGGUUCAGUGUUUAAUACUCAUUGGCUGAUUUUCAAGUAUGUAUGCUCCAUGACAGGUUGCCCAAAAACAUCUACUGUUUACAGAUGGCAGACAUUACCUUGAGAACAUUGUCUUAAUCAACCGAAAUAUUAUCACUAGAAGCCAUUUUUUACCAUCUGAUUUUCGUUUUGUGUUGAUGAGUUUCACUGCAUUUCAUGUUUGGAUUUCCAUGCAAAUGGAGAACCAUAGUGACUUUGCUUCAGUAAUCCAAUGCAAUUACUCCUUUCUUCAAACAGUGCCUACUGAAUAGAAGUUCUGCACGAAGCAAUUGAGAAGUAUGAUCAUCACGUCUGUGAAUGUCCUUGUUAUUUUGCAGGGACUAUAUAUUUCUGCGACCAACCGAAGUAUAGUCUCUCACUACCCAUUUAUGAUUUUUUAUUGUCAUUUUAAUUCUGUUCUGUACUCGCUUUCAGUUAUUUUACUAAAAGUUUCUUUGAAAUUCACGGAGCUACUAUUAAAAUAAUAUUCUAAAAUGUUUGUAAUAGUUACAGCAAGUACGAAGCUUGCAAAUGUUUUUUUAAUGUUCAUAUUCAGUGAAAGCAUAUUAGCAUAACUUCAUCUUUACUUGCAUCACUUCUAGAGCAUGUUUUUUGUGGGGCUAGUAUGAAAAGCAAUUCAGUUUGUACUGGUCAUUCAGAGAAGACUGGAUAGAAGUCGUGCAUGUAGACUGAAGGUGGUAUUUUUGAUGUACAUGUAUUAAAAUGUUGGCUUUGAUAUGAGUUAAUAAUAAAAUUCAAAUUCUGUCCACUAA